AGCUCCAAUAGCGUAUAUUAAAGUUGUUGCGGUUAAAAAGCUCGUAGUUGGAUCUCUUCUGGCCUCUCGCGGUUCGGUGUUUGCCGCUACUGCGAUGCAGGUCGGUAUUUUUGGGGGCCUCUUGCGGGUGCUCUUAAUCGAGUGUCCGCCGGAUCCCCCAGGUUUACUUUGAAAAAAUUAGAGUGCUCAAAGCAGGCCUUGAACGCCUGAAUAUUCGUGCAUGGAAUAAUGGAAUAGGACGUCGUUUCUAUUUUGUUGGUUUUCGGAAAUCGACGUAAUGAUUAAUAGGGACAGUCGGGGGCAUUAGUAUUCAGGCGACAGAGGUGAAAUUCUUGGACCGCCUGAAGACUGACCACUGCGAAAGCAUUUGCCAAGAAUGUUUUCAUUAAUCAAGAACGAA
rnacentral:rRNA from 1 species